rnacentral:lncRNA from 1 species
UGAGAUCACAGAAGUCUGAUUUAACGUUAAGUCAGCUGAAGCUAAUGACCCGUGAAACCAACGGUAACGUCAAAGUAAAGUUAUCUGAAGCCAGUCUUACCUUUAGUUCAAAGUUUCCUGUAGUUGAGUUAUUCCUAGAGAUUUCUUGUGCAGCGGAAUGAACCCGGAAUGAGACUCCUUCGGGAAUAAAACACGCCCAGUUGAGAUACAGGUAUGGAGGAGGUGAGGAGGUGGGACCGUUAGAGGAAGUAAGCUAACACGACCCCGCUCUGGAAUGCUACCAGGCUAAUGUGAGCUGUGUCACAACCUCGCAUUAGUACAAACGUUUUGUGUCUUAAUUAUUCAAAUUUCACAGAGCUGCAGUUUGUGCAUGACGUGGACUUUAUCUCCUGUCACAGCCUCUUGGUCAUGGGGUGAGCACGUGUGGGAAGCCUGCCACCCCCUGGUUUGUAUCGGGAAGCCAGAUGCCAGAGUCAGCUGCAGAAGAUCAGCCCUAGAAUUGGGAAAGGCUGCACCCCUUCAAGCCCAACUCAUUAGGGAGUGUGUUUUGGGGAAGGGGGGAGGAGAAGUGAAGGUCACGAGAGGUUAAUUCCAAUCGCAAUGCCUCCUUGAAGCAGCAUGACAGCAUGUCUCCUCUGCUCACAGAUUGGAUGAGUUCUUGGUGAUCAGACUGGCCUGAUUACAAUGUGUGGAAGAUUGAGUCGCUCUCUAACACACACACACACACAAACACACACAUGUGCACACACAUGUGCACACACACAUACACACACACUUUUCCUCCUCUUCCUGCAUAUGUAUUGUCUUCAUUAUUUAUGGGAUUUGAACUAUGUGUGCAUGUUUGUUUACAGUAAGUUUAUUCUGUAUAGCGACGGCUGUAACUAAAGGAUUUGUGGUAUUACCUCUCCCACAACAAAGACUUUUCCAAU